GCUUUCGUAGCUCAAUUGGUUAAGAGCGAUCGGACCGGUGUUCCCGAAGGUCGCAAGUUCGAGUCUUGCCGAAAGCC